GGGGGUGUAGCUCAGCUGGGAGAGCACCUGCUUUGCAAGCAGGGGGUCAGCGGUUCGAUCCCGCUCAUCUCCACCA
rnacentral:tRNA from 2 species